CUAGAUCUGAAUCAGUUUUCGUUAAAAAAAAUAUAAAGAACUUUGAAGAGCAGAUCAGAAGAAUAAUUAUUAUUUUUUUAAAAAAUGCAGCCUAUUUUUUUUUAAAGAACUAUGAACGGUAAUCACAAAGUAAAGCCUUAGAUUUCAAAUAUUUUCCAUCGAUUUAACACAAGUUGUAUAUAGAUCUUCGAAAUACUAGCAUCGAAGAAUAAAUCAAAAAACAAAAAAAAAUACACAUACUGAAUCUUUCAAAAUCAUUUUUGAAAAUAUGAAUCAAAAAAUUGAUUUUAGACUAUAAUAGAUUUUUUUGAUUAGAUUAAAGGUACAUGAACCUUUGACAUAGAAAGAAGAACUAACAAAUUUUUUUUAAAAAAAUCCAAAGUCUAUUUUUGAAGAAAUCGAUCGGUAAAAAUAUUUUAGAUCAUAUUAGAUCGUUUGAUUGAUUUAACAAAAUAAAUAAAAACCUCAAAAAUAAUAACUUCGAAAACUGAGAACUUAAAAUAUGCGAUAGAUCUAAAAAAAAACUUCAAAGAUAAUUUUAUGAAUCAUUUUUAAGGAAAUUUGUUCGGUGAAAAGAUGAUUUAGAUGAUAAGGAUUCAAUUGAUCGGAUUAUUUUUCUUUAAAACUCACUGGAAAGUACAGAUUUUGACUGAAAAAGAUUAGGGUUUUCAAAUCGUGUAGAGAGAGAUGAAUGUGUGUGUGUGUGUGUGUGUGUGUGUGUG
rnacentral:lncRNA from 1 species